AUGCCCUUUUUUCUUUCUUUUAAAUAGGUGCCCAAGGGAGUUUUGGAUAAGGAGGAAGCCUUAUCUAAUAAGGCUUGGGAAGGGGCAUCCAACUCUUGGAUAUCUCCCUCUUUUGUUUCACACAAAUACAAUAGAAACAAGGGGUGCAUGGGCUGAAGAUUGGCAUGAGAAAUCUCAUGCUAAAAAUAAAGAAGGGACGCAUGAAGACAUGCUUUGGCAUGGGCUUGGUGGAUGCAAGG
rnacentral:lncRNA from 1 species